GUCGAACGAAGUAGCAAUACUUAGUGGCAGACGGGUGAGUAACAUGUAGGUAUCUACCCUUUGGCCUGGAAUAACACGAGGAAACUUGUGCUAAUACCGGAUAAGUCUUUACGGAGAAAGCUUUAUGCACCAUUGGAUGAGCCUGCACUAGAUUAGUUUGUUGGUAGGGUAAUGGCCUACCAAGACUGUGAUCAAUAGCUGAUUUGAGAGGAUGAUCAGCCACAUUGGGACUGAGACACGGCCCAAACUCCUACGGGAGGCAGCAGUGGGGAAUCUUGCACAAUGGAGGAAACUCUGAUGCAGCGAUGCCGCGUGAGUGGAGAAGGCCUUUGGGUUGUAAAGCUCUUUCGUCGGGGAAGAAAAUGACUGUACCCGAAUAAGAAGGUCCGGCUAACUUCGUGCCAGCAGCCGCGGUAAUACGAAGGGACCUAGCGUAGUUCGGAAUUACUGGGCUUAAAGAGUUCGUAGGUGGUUGAAAAAGUUGGUGGUGAAAUCCCAGAGCUUAACUCUGGAACUGCCAUCAAAACUUUUCAGCUAGAGUUUGAUAGAGGAAAGCAGAAUUUCUAGUGUAGAGGUGAAAUUCGUAGAUAUUAGAAAGAAUACCAAUUGCGAAGGCAGCUUUCUGGAUCAUUACUGACACUGAGGAACGAAAGCAUGGGUAGCGAAGAGGAUUAGAUACCCUCGUAGUCCAUGCCGUAAACGAUGUGUGUUAGACGUUGGAUAUUUAUUUUCAGUGUCGCAGCGAAAGCGAUAAACACACCGCCUGGGGAGUACGACCGCAAGGUUAAAACUCAAAUGAAUUGACGGG
rnacentral:rRNA from 1 species